GCUUUUCUGUAAAAAUAUAAAGAUAAGCUCUGGUGGACUUGGUUCUAUGGUUGGUCUCAAAGGGUUAAUAAAUAAUUAUCUGAAUCUUAUAACCAAAGUGGUCAUCUGAUGUAAAAUGUAUAGAAAUCAUAUAUAUGUACCAACAAGACAGUGUACAUCACUGUCACAACAGCGUUCGUUUUCAUUCAAGGGCUUUAUGGCUUUUCCUGUAAUACCUGGUGGGCCGGUCUGUAGUCGAAAUGCACGGGCCGUUUUUUUUGUCCCAGUCCAGCCCUGUUGGCAUGUGUAGUACGUGUCACAAUCAUAUUUUCUUUUAAUCAGUGCACAUGUUAUAAAAAAUAAUUUGAAAUCUAAGUGUGUGCUGUAAAUGCAUUGUUAUUCAUUAUCAUGGUGGAGCUAAAAUUGAGGGGACAUUGAUGGGGAUCUACCAUUUCACCAAAGCUGAGUGUUUGUAAUCUCACAGGUGAAAACAUAUAUGUAGUUUGCUUUAUAUGAGAUUUCCCAGUUUAAUGUGUAAAACAGUAUUUGUUUAUCCAUCAGCUGAUUUAACAAGACUGAGCUGAUGAACCUGACUUUGUUGUCUAUCAGGAAUAUUUUGAUAUUAAGAUUUUGCUGGAUUUUGUGUUUGAUAAAUAUUUGCAUUUGCUGGUAUGAUCAUAUGAUUAUUAUUAGACUGCAUUUGUCUGUAUCACUAUUGAUUUAGAUUUUUACGUGUGUGUUUAUUGUAAAUUGAACACACCUGCUUCCACACCACAAACAACAACAGCAACACAGAGUGAAAGUUUCACUCCAGGAGGCUCUACACCUUCAUCAGAUUGUCCUGACUCCUCCUGGCUUCUGGUUGUGCGUGCGUCCUUGGAUGGUGUUUUGCUGAUGGCUGUUUUCCUCAUGCUCUUCUACAUUAGUAAGACAAGGAGGAACUUUGGACUGAACACCAGAGAAAAUGACACAAAGAUGGAGGAUCCACCCUCCAGACAUAAAGAGUCCAAAAGGACCAGGGCCAAACCUACUCUGCAUUUUUAAAGACCAAAAUCUAAUAAUUGUAAACUUUACCUGUUUUACAUUUGGCCGAUGUACUGGCUUAUCUUCUUUUCCAACAAUGAUUUCAUUUUGAUAUUUUU
rnacentral:lncRNA from 1 species